ACCCUUAAAUUUUUAAUUUUAAAUUCGUAACUAAAAAUUAAUAAAUCAAAAUUUUAAUUUUAAAAUCGUUAUUACAGUUAAUAAAUUAGUCUACUGUAUUUAGAUAUAUUUGAUAUUAUAAUAAUUUAAAUAACAUUAAACUUAAAACAAAAAUCCCCAAUCUAAACCUAAUCCCCUCCACCCCGACGAACUCUCCCCCUCUUUCUCUCUUCCUCUUUUGGUUUCGACAACAAAUACUGAAUCUCCCGCCACCACCCCUAACAACGGCUCCUCUUCUCUGAUGUAGUGUAUUCUCUGGUUUCCCUCUCAUGGUGUGCUCUUCAUCUCUUCUUCUUCGAUUUUUUUUUUUUGUGUUCUAAUCUGGUGUUUAAUUUCAUGUGUGGGAAAAACUCUUCAUCUCCGGCGUGAAUCUCUUCUUCUCCUGUCAAAAUUGAAGGCUUGACAAAACGAGGGUUUAUGUUGUUGGAGCUGUAUUCUUCACUGGUGUCACAGUAGCCUCUCUACCCUGUCUCUGUGGUCAAAACAAGGCUUUAAGUUGCAUCCAAAGAUAUCGUUGGGUCUGAAUAAGACAGUGAUAAAGAAAACAACGACGAGGAGAAGGAAGCUCAAGGCAGUGACACGGACUAUAGUGAAGAUGGAGAAGAAGCCAAUGGCAAGAAACAAAGCACUCGUGGCAGAGGACGUGGCCGUGGUCGCGGCGGCCGCUCUGGUAAUGGAAAAGUUUUGCCGGUGACAACCGGUGGGAGAAGAGGAAGACCAUGUAAAUCUUAGUAACUACUUUGACUUUGAUGUGGUUUCUUUUUAACAGUUUUGUUUCUUUUUCAAACAAUGAGAGGCUGAGAAACAUUUGCUUAAAGCUUGAUCCUCCAGAGUACUUUUUACCGGCUUUUGUAUUCUUAUGUAAUCCACAUCGAAUGAUUUAUUAAUCUAGAGAGCACAUUUCCGUUAA